GACGAACGCUGGCGGCGUGCUUAAUACAUGCAAGUCAACUUGACUUUAGAUAGCAAUAUCGAAAAGUAGGGUGGCGCACGGGUGCGUAACGCGUAGGUAAUCUGCCCUGAGGUCUGACAUAACCCGUCGAAAGGCGGGCUAACAUCAGAUGAUAUAUAAUCACGACAUCGUGGAAAUAUCAAAUCUUCGGAGCCUUGGGAUGAGCCUGCGUCUGAUUAGGUAGUUGGCGGAGUAAUAGCCCACCAAGCCUACGAUCAGUAGCUGGUCUGAGAGGAUGAUCAGCCACACUGGAACUGAGACACGGUCCAGACUCCUACGGGAGGCAGCAGUAAGGAAUAUUGCUCAAUGGGGGAAACCCUGAAGCAGCAACGCCGCGUGAAGGAUGAAAUACUUUGAUGUAAACUUCUGUAAGAUGGGAAAAAUAUUACUCCUCGGGAGAAUUGAUUGUACCAUCAGAGUAAGCCCCGGCUAACUACGUGCCAGCA
rnacentral:rRNA from 1 species